rnacentral:lncRNA from 1 species
AUGAUGCCUUUAGAUCAAGGUGGGCGGAUGAGCAACUUUAAUUCCAGAGUACCAUUUCACUAUGUAAUGUUAUGUAUCAUAGGUUCUGGGACUGAGGACACGGACAGCUUUGGGGAGCCAAUAUCCUAUCUGCCACCAUCACCAAACAAAAUCCAAAGAGCUGAAGGUAGAAGUUUGCAGAUCCCUCUUCUAGAAGGGACAGUGUUUGAAAUGCACAUCUCCUUGGCCUUGAGAUCUCAAUGCCUGCAGGUUACCUCUGUCCAAAGCAAUGCUAUUGUUGGUGUCUACCAAAGGCCACCAGAUGAAAGUGAUUGGGGAUGGAGAGAUGUAGUGAAAGGGAGGACCUGGAUGUGAGUUAUUCUUUCUUACCUUCGUCUCCUCUUCUUUAAUCUCCAGUUGGCACUUGAAGGUAAGUUCCCAGAGAGCAAUGUCUUGUUUGGUUCCCUGCUGCAUCAUUAGCACCUAGAAUAGCACCUGAUACAAAAUAGAUCCUCAGUAAACUGAUACUGAAUUAAUUGCUACAAAUGAGAAAGAAUGAAAUCAUGCCAUUUGCAGCAACGUGGAUGGAACUGGAAGGUAUUAUGCUGAGUGAAAUAAGUCAGAGGACAGAUAUCAUGUUUUCGCUCAUAUGUGGAUCUUGAGAAACUUAUCAGAAGGCCAUGGGGGAAGGGAAGGGGAAAAAUAGUUAUAAACAGAGAGCGGGGAAAGCAAACCACAAGAGAUUCUUAAAUACAGAGAACAAACUGAGGGUGGGUGGGGGGUGGGGGAGAGGGGAAAGUGGGUGAUGGGCAGGGAGGAGGGCACUUGUUGGGAUGAGCGCUGGGUAUUGUAUGGAAGCCAAUGUGACAAUAAAUUAUAUUCACCAGAAAAGAAUUAAUUGCUA